GUUAAUUUAGUGUAAUAAGUUGCAUUUCAAUUUUUCGUAUUGGGGGAGAUGUUUAUCAAUUAAUA
rnacentral:tRNA from 1 species